CCUACGGGAGGCAGCAGUGAGGAAUAUUGGUCAAUGGACGAGAGUCUGAACCAGCCAAGUAGCGUGAAGGAUGACUGCCCUAUGGGUUGUAAACUUCUUUUAUAUGGGAAUAAAAUGUUCCACGUGUGGGAUUUUGUAUGUACCAUAUGAAUAAGGAUCGGCUAACUCCGUGCCAGCAGCCGCGGUAAUACGGAGGAUCCGAGCGUUAUCCGGAUUUAUUGGGUUUAAAGGGAGCGUAGGUGGAUUGUUAAGUCAGUUGUGAAAGUUUGCGGCUUAACCGUGAAAUUGCAGUGGAAACUGGCAGUCUUGAGUACAGUAGAGGUGGGCGGAAUUCGUGGUGUAGCGGUGAAAUGCGUAGAUAUCACGAAGAACUCCGAUUGCGAAGGCAGUUCACUGGACUGCAACUGACACUGAGGCUCGAAAGUGUGGGUAUCAAACAGGAUUAGAUACCCGUGUAGUC
rnacentral:rRNA from 1 species